rnacentral:rRNA from 1 species
AUGGACAGCGCCCUCGCAAGCGCCGCGGCGAUCGCCGACCAGCGCCAGAAGAUCGAGCAGUACCGCCACAUCCUCGCCUCCGUCAUCUCGUCUUCCCCGCCGGACAUCCCCCAGGCCAAGCGCUUCCUCAACCACAUGGUUUCGGAUGAGGUGCCGCUCGUGGUGUCGCGGCAGCUGCUGCAGACGUUCGCGCAGGAGCUGGGGAAGCUGGAGCCAGACUCUCAGAAGGAGGUCGCCCACUACGCGCUCACGCAGAUCCAGCCUCGUGUGGUCUCCUUCGAGGAGCAGGUAGUAGUGAUUAGAGAGAAGCUUGCAGAACUGUAUGAAUCUGAACAACAAUGGUCGAGUGCAGCACAAAUGCUUAGUGGCAUUGACUUGGACUCAGGAAUCAGGAUGCUUGAUGACACCAACAAAUUAUCCAAGUGCGUCCAGAUUGCGCGACUCUAUUUGGAGGAUGAUGAUGCAGUGAAUGCUGAAGCUUUUAUCAACAAAGCCUCUUUUUUGGUCACAAACAGCAACCAGGAAGUUCUGAACUUGCAAUACAAGGUCUGCUAUGCGAGAAUUUUAGAUCUAAAGCGUAAAUUCUUGGAAGCUGCACUUCGAUACUAUGGCAUCUCUCAGAUUGAGCAACGCCAAAUUGGGGAUGAAGAGAUUGAUGAAAAUGCUCUGGAGCAAGCUCUUAGUGCUGCUGUAACAUGCACAAUAUUGGCUGGUGCUGGCCCACAACGGUCCCGUGUUCUUGCUACAUUGUACAAGGAUGAAAGAUGCUUGAAGCUCAAGAUAUAUCCAAUACUGCAGAAGGUUUUUCUUGAAAGGAUUUUGAGGAAACCAGAAAUUGAUGCAUUUGCAGAGGAGCUGAAGCCGCAUCAAAAAGCCCUUCUGCCAGACAAGUCUACUGUGCUUGAGCGGGCAAUGAUUGAGCAUAAUCUCCUUAGUGCCAGUAAACUUUACACCAAUAUCAGCUUUGAGGAGCUUGGAACAUUGUUGGGCAUUGACCCUAGAAAGGCUGAGAAGAUAGCAUGUCGAAUGAUUUGUGAAGAUAGAAUGCGGGGUUCAAUUGAUCAGGUUGAAGCUGUGAUACACUUUGAGGAUGACACCGAAGGGCUGCAGCAGUGGGACCAACAGAUUGCUGGAUUGUGCCAAGCGCUGAACGACAUCCUUGACAGCAUGUCGAGCAAGGGGAUCGCUAUACCUGUCUGA